UACAGAGGUCUCGAGCGUUAGGCGGAAUCACUGGGCUUAAAGCGUGUGUAGACGGGUCGUUAAGUGCCUUGUGAAAUCCCAUGGCUCAACCAUGGAACUGCUGGGCAUACUGGCGAUCUUGUGCCACCUAGGGGCGAGCGGAACAGAUGGUGGAGCGGUGAAAUGCGUAGAUAUCAUCUGGAACGCCAAUGGUGAAAACAGCUCGCUGGGGGUGUGCAGACGCUGAGACACGAAAGCCAGGGGAGCGAACGGG
rnacentral:rRNA from 1 species